CCGCGGGCGUUCCCGUGCCCUAAGCGGUGGCUGUUAUCCCAGCGGCGUUUCCUCGGCGGACGGCGGCUGUCUUCCUCUCCAUCAGCGAACAGCGGAAGCAAUGGCGGUGUCUUCCUCCGGCUAGUUCUUGUCGCUGCAGCGUUUUCCUCGGUGAACGGCGGCUGCUGCGUCUUUCUCUCCAUCUGUGUAACGGCAGAGGCGGCGUCUCUGCCCCCCGUCAGUUGAGUAUGGAAUUGCAGCGGGCUGUUCAUGACUGACUACGAUGGAAUCGGGUCUCUGAGAACUCAGGGGCUUACUAGUGGAAAGUGGAUAGACGCAGACGAUGGCAUGACCAUUCAGGCAUCAAGUGCCAGGAAAAUCAGGUGUUUGUGAUGAUUUAGGUGUACACUAUGUCUUGCAAGAAGCUGUUGGAGGAAGUGGAUCUUGAUGACACUGGCUUGGUGACAAGUUCAUUCUUGAUGGUACAUCAAGACUCGAUCAUGGAUGAAAUAUGGGUUUGUUGGUUGUCUAAACAAAUCAAAUAUAUUGUUUAUCUAAGAAAAUACCAGUGGAUAGUGGGAUGUUUAAACAAAUCAAAUAUAUUGUUUAUCUAAGAAAAUAUAAGUGGAUAGUGGGAUGUUUAAACAAAUCAAAUAUAUUGUUCAUCUAAGAAAAUAUAUCAGUGGAUAGUGGGAAAGUAAUUGAAACAUUUAAACAUUUAAGGCUAGGUAAGGAAAGGAAUUUUGGGUGUCUCCAAAAUAUUUUAUCAUUGUUCCACUUAUGAACAGCAAGUGGCCACAUUUGGUGCACUUUCUGAAUUCACAUUAAUGACACAUUAGACUGUCAGAUGCUAUAAGAAUGAUAAUAUCACAAGGUUGAAUAGAGUUCCAAAUAGGAAUUCUAGUGAUUUUGCAGAAGUAUGUGGCUGCUGAUGCAUGCAUACGAUGUGCUUUAUAGGUUGACCACCCAAGCCAUCAUUGUAAGCUUGAAAUACCUCCAGUGUAAUGUAGGUAUUGUUGAAGCAUCUGAACAUGUUUUGGAUUUUAACUUAACUACAGGUUUUGUAAACUAAUUUUUGCAAUUUUGGGUUUCAAAUUAGGUUUUUUUUGCACAUAUGACUAACCAAGGUACACAGUAUCAUUUUCAUAUGAGUAAGUUAAGGUAUUUUACAACUGUUAGAGUCCUCUUAAACUGUUCUGGUUGUCUUGAUAAAGUGUGAUUGGUCAUUAAACACUACAAGAAAAGCAUUUUACUGAGAUUUAUGUUUCUAUUUUUCCAUCCUUAAAUUGCCUGUCUUGUAGUCCUCAUUGGUGCAUCUGACAUCUUUGACCCAUGUUCUAUUUGAGAUAUUGUGGUGCAACAUAGAAAGGUCAUACUGUUUAUCAUCUAGCUUUAUCGGUCAAAUGUGAAUGUACGAUGUGUAACGUGCAUCUCUUGUCAUAUCAUUGAUGAAGUGACUGCAUGGCACAGAAAUAGAGGCUAUCAAGCAUCUUUAUGUUCAAUUUUAAUGUUGGAAAUCUUUUCCAGACAUGAAAAUUUUCAAAAGUGAAUGUCAUUAUGCUAGAUAUAAAUGGUAGGAUAUAUCUCAAACCUUGAAAUGUCAUUGUGUCAUUCACUCCUCUAGAAAAGGUUCAGAUGAUCUCAAUUUUUUUAAAGCCAUUGGCUUUGAUCUGUCAAGGCUAAAGGCUAGUGAAGAUCAGUUAGCUUAAUCGUUUGGCCCAAAUAGUCAUCGAUAGCUUGGUAUAGAAAUAUUUUGAAGUUCAUUUGUAUUUAGGGAUUGCCCUUUUAUGAUUUUUUUUUACCAUACAAGUCUUCGGUUAGAUUAGUACAUACUAGUUGCAUGAAAUGGCACAAGCUAUAUGUUCCCUUGUGCAAUGUUGACUGAUUGGUAAGGAUGCACAAGCAGACCUUCAACGACUUAUACAUCCCAGAUAUAAGGCUCUGGUCAAGCUUGUUCUGACGCUCAAAACUGAAGUUUCAACUCUAAUCUUAUUUAGCGAGGAUCAUCGAAUUUUUCUCAAAGAGUGGGAUUACCAAGCAGUAAGGAGUUAUUUGAUGCUAAAUUGGAGAAGAAAACUUGCAGGAUUAUUGCUUGAGUUUAGGAAAGAUUCCCAAAAAGACAUUGCCACCAGUUGUCCAAAAGCCUGAUGGGAAGAAAAACUGGAUGGUUUGUGAUCCGGUUCCUAUAAACAACUUCUGCUGCUAAAUAGAUAUCUAGGUCUUUGUUUAUCUGUUAUAUCUCCUCUGACUACUCUAUGUUAUAUUUGAUAUUACUGAUUCUGAGGUAUCCAAUUUAGUUUAGUAUUUAAUUUUUAAGAAGAAUGGAGUGAGUUGCUCAAUAAAGCCCCAAUAAGUCACAUACGUUGUACCUGAUAUUGAAGACUUUGACCACACAGAUAUCUCUGAAUUUGUUCAGAAAGCUCAGGUCUUAGUAAGUGUCAGAAAAUUAGAACUCGGAGACAUUUUUAGUUAUUGGUUUCCCACAGGAUCCAUCGAUUCUGGAGUGUUCUUGGAUGGAGCUUUCAGAAAAUAAAAGGACAGUGACAGCUGAGGAAUUAGCUGUGGUACUUAUUUUGCAGAAUUAACUUUCCAUGCUUGAACACUGCUCAUCUUUCAUUUUCUUCAGAUUAUAUAUGGCAGCAAGGAAUAUCUUGAAAGCUACUGUUCCCUUCUCUUGUUGUCUAGAGAUGACAUAUAUUUUAGUGUGGUUGAUAGCAAGGGAUAUUGUUCUCUAUAUGAACGACGACCAAGUAUUAAGGGUCAUUAUGAGGAUUCUUUAGGAAAGAUUCUUUUGGUCAAUUUUCAGGCUGCCCAACCACUUCCUCAAUGGUGGCGACAGCGUGGUGGCUGAAUCCAUCGCAACCCUAGUUUUCAUGGACGAGGAGGAGGUGGGUUUUCUCUCGUUGCAUCGGUCUUCGAUAACGAUGGCAUGCUUUUGCUUGCUUCCAUCCUUAUUGUCAUUGUUCCAUCAUAAGUUCUUGAUCUUUGGUCCAAAGAUGGUUCUGUACGGUGAUUCUUUGAGAAAGAUUCUUUUGGUCUAUUUUCAUGACCGCCCCUUCCUCGACGGUGGCGAAAACCUAGCUGUAGAUUCCAUCGCCAGCUUAGCUUCCUUGGUAGAGGCUAAAAACAAAAGUGGCGAUCGACAAGGAGGGUUUUCUAUAGUUGCAUCGAUGGUGAUCGCAUGCUUUCGCUUGUUUCCUGUCCUAUGGUGGCCAUUCUAUCGCAGAUUCUUGAUCCUUGGUGCAGAGAAGUGUCGGUACAAGGAUUCUUUUGAAUAGAUUCUUUUGGCCACAGAUUUUCAUGGCGAGCUCUGCUGCCGCCUAGCUUGCAAUGAAGAUGGCAAUUGACGAGGAGGUUUUUUUUUCUCUCAUUAGGCCAGUGAUGCUUUUUCUUGCUUCCAGCCCUAUCAUGGCUGUUUGAUCGCAGAUUCUUGAUUUCUUGGUCCGGAGGAGAAGAGUCAGUAGGUUGGUUCUUUUGGACAUCGAGUGUUCCUUUGCCUCGUGAUGGAUUUCUGCCCACUGGCAAGGAAACCUUCUGUCAAUGGCAUAAUUGCAUUGAUAGGGGGACCUGAGGUGGAGUAGAUUAUUUGGUCAUAGUGUUGUUAUGAUCAUGCUGUUUGUGCUUCUUAUGGAUGAAGAAGAGAUAAUUGGAUUGGUUGCCAUUAAGUGGCUGGGAAAGUUUAUCCGUUAGUGUUUGAUAAAUCCAGCUAAUCUGUUUAUAAUAUUAUGAUCAGUUUAGCGAGUGUGGGAAAUUCUUUAUGGCAAGCAAAGGAGGGCACCGGCCACAACCAGUAAAUGAAUGUGAUAUUUAUUCAGGUAAGUUGCUGUUAGUUGCUGUUCAUGCAAGCGAAGGGUUAUCAUGCCUACAUGCAAACCUAUUGAUGGUUCUUUUGUGUAUCAUAAUACUCUCUCGAGGAAUUGUGUAGAAUCGCUAGAAUGUUUGCUAGCAUUUCUCCAAUCUCAAAAUGCUUAAGCUGCAGUAGGGCAUUGGCUAUCACUUCUUCUCCAAGCUGCUGAACUUGAGGCACUGAGAGGACACCGUGGAUGUGCAAAUCUCCGGAAAGAGGCAUUUCUUACCCUUCGAGUCCUUGUUGCCAAGAUGAGCGAGGAGCCGCAAGAGGUCGUUGGUCGAUUGAGGAAACUUUUGAGGACGUAGGGGCUUGUCGGCGGAAAGUGGGUCGAUGACUACGAUGCCAAGACUAUUCAGAUCUUUUCUUUCAACUAAGCGUUUAUGGUUUUCAAAUUAUUUGGAAUGAACGUGCACUAGUAAAGCAUGAACACAUUGAUAACCCAGAGGAGGUGGGAACACACAACUUUCUGGUUAAUGCCAAUUCAUCCCCAAUUCAAUCUGCACUCUGAAGAAACUAAUGUGAGUAAACUAUGCCACGUUUGUUGUAGCACCAGCACAUGGAAUUCUCUCUAAUAUAGGUUAGUUUGCCCAGUGUUGGUGAAUCUGAUAUAUGCAGUAAUGCUGCCUUAUAUUAAAUGCUACAAUCUAUGGAAGGAUAACACAUGGAUUAGGUAAAUAGUGAUCGACAUAAACCUUUCUGAAGCAGGAUCAAAGAUCAAUAAUUCUACCAAAUUUGGCUUUGUAAGAGUUUUAUCAGUUGGCUGGUGGCAUUAAUGCUUUCACUAUCAAGAGUUUAAAGAAACAAGGGCUCUUCCAGACAAUGACCAUUGAUGGGAACUCUUCAGAGAAAAGUAACGAGGAUAAAGUAGCUCGUCCGCAUAUAUUGCUGGAAUAGCUUAUUGCGGCUAUGCACGAAAGGUCAUAAUUUACACUAAUUCAAGCAACAUUUAGCUAUUUCUUGCAUUCUUGCCACACUUUUUAACUGGACGAGUUUGACAUGCUAUUAUCAUUUUGGAAUUCUCUACAAAUUUAAGCUAAUUCUUUGCAUGCAUACUACAUUUUAUUGUGAGAAAUUUCCUACCUAAUGCCAAGUCUGACAUGCUAUUAAGAAGUUCUUCCUCUUAAUGCUUUCAAAUUAGUCUCUUAAAUAUGAAUCAAUCUAUAAACCAUUGGAUUGUUAAAUUUAUGAGAGUGAAUUAGUUAAAUUUAAAUUUAAUAGCGGGUGGUUCACAUAUCAAUAUGCUAGCGAACUGAUAUGUAUUGCUUGAAUCGAGCAGUAUGGUAAGAAAUGUAAAUAAAUGGAUGCUACAUUGCAACAAGCAAAAAAAUCUCCCUUUGGGUUUGGGGUUUCGUUUCGGGUAAAGGG